rnacentral:rRNA from 1 species
AAUAAAUUUAGAAGUGGCACAGAAUCGGAAAUGGCGACUGUUUAUUAAAAAACACAGGACAAUGCUAAAUAGAAAUAUGAUGUAUAUUGUCUGACUCCUGCCCAGUGCUUGAAAGUAAAAAUGAAUAUUUGAAAAGGUAUUUGUAUAAGCUCAAGUAAACGGCGGCUGUAACCUUGACGGUCUUAAGGUAGCGAAAUCCCUAGUCAAUUAAUUGUUGACGUGCAUGAAUGGAGUAACGACUGUUUUACUGUCUCGGGCUUUUGUACUGUGAAUUCAUAAUUGUCGUGAAGAUACGACAUUCCUAUAGUGGGACGGUAAGACCCUAUGCAGCUUUACUAUAAUUUUAAAGUGUUUGAAAUUCUUUAAGUAUGUAGGAUAGGUAUAAGCUUAUUAUUUCUUAACGCAAGUUAAUU